GUGCUUGCUUUGGCAAUACAUAUACUAAAACUGAAACUAUAUAGAGAGGAUUGGCAUGGUUCCUGUGCAAGAAUGACACAAAUUUAUGAAGGUUCCAUAUUUUU
rnacentral:snRNA from 1 species